rnacentral:rRNA from 1 species
GCAUAUCAAUAAGCGGAGGAAAAGAAACCAACAGGGAUUGCCCUAGUAACGGCGAGUGAAGCGGCAACAGCUCAAAUUUGAAAUCUGGCGCAAGCCCGAGUUGUAAUUUGUAGAGGAUGCUUCUGGGCAGCGGCCGUUCUAAGUUCCUUGGAACAGGACGUCAUAGAGGGUGAGAAUCCCGUAUGUGACCGGCACGUACCCUCCACGUAGCUCCUUCGACGAGUCGAGUUGUUUGGGAAUGCAGCUCUAAAUGGGAGGUAAAUUUCUUCUAAAGCUAAAUACCGGCCAGAGACCGAUAGCGCACAAGUAGAGUGAUCGAAAGAUGAAAAGCACUUUGGAAAGAGAGUUAAAAAGCACGUGAAAUUGUUGAAAGGGAAGCGCUUACAACCAGACUUCGUGGCGGUGUUCCGCCGGUCUUCUGACCGGUCUACUCGCCGCCGCGAGGCCAGCAUCGUCUGGGGCCGCCGGAUAAGACCUUGGGAAUGUAGCUUGCCUCGGUAAGUGUUAUAGCCCAUGGUGAUGCGGCGUGCCUCGGGCGAGGUCCGCGCUUCGGCAAGGAUGCUGGCGUAAUGGUUGUCAGCGGCCCGUCUUGAAACACGGACC